rnacentral:rRNA from 1 species
AUCUGCUGCCAUACCACGGCUGAACGACCCGGAUCUCAUUUGAUCUCGGAAGCUAAGCAGAGUCGAACCUAGUUGGUACUUGGAUGAGAGAUUAUCCGGACUAUGCUGUAGACC